rnacentral:lncRNA from 1 species
AAUAUCAAGCUGAUGCAAUGCACCUCUCGGAGAGCUCUUCAAGAAGCUAGUCUUCAACAACCACUACAAAACAGUAAAGUUAACAGCCCGACCUUUUCAUUUUUUUAGGUAGGUCAACACAGAUGACACACUCCUAUUUACUUUCCCACCAUUCACAACCUGACUUUUCUCCUUUCUCAACUCUCUCUUCACCGGAAGUACAUAGGCUAGCCCAUGUUCUGUGAUAUUUAAACACAAUCACAAAUCAUCAGACUGUCAGCUUAUGAUUAAAUGCUCAGUCACUUGAAAACAUUGAGAGUGACUCACAGAACACCAAAUUUAACAAACAUAACACGGAAGUUACCAUUGUCUCAAUGAAUAACAUCCUAAAGUGAGGAUAUCAAUACCAAGAAAACUUCAGUUGCAAACUUUCAAAUACAAUGUACACCAGUCAACGGCCAUAAACAGUAAAGUAUAAAUAGAAAAAACAAAUCAAUGACAUGAAAGAAAAAUAAAAGUCAUAGAUAAAGGACAAUAAAUUUUAUCAAUAGUAAGGAUCAAGGAAGACUAAAGUCUCAUGAACGUGAUAGUGGUAGGAUAUCUGACACGGAAAGGGAACGAGACGACUCUGAACGGGACAAGGAAAAGUACAAGAAAGGUAACAUCAUACCAAUAAAUUAUGACAAUCAAGAUAGAAUUAUUAUAAAUUGGCAAAAUGUGCAUAAGGGAAACUAUAAUAAUAGUAUAAAAAAAAAAAACUCUUUAAAAAUAUUAAAUUCAUUUCACAAGAGGCUUGAGGUUGGAGGAAUGGAAUAUUAAAAGGAAGUUUGAUUGUUGAUACUUUUUUCUAUAAGACAACUAUAAUAUCGCGCUGACCUCUUAGAUAGUCAGUCAGCUAAUAGUUAUUAGCUCAGAAAAUCACCUUUCUUCUUGAUUCUCAGAACGUGACUUUCUGAGAUAAUACUAUUAGUUGAGUGACUAUAUUAGAAAUCGACUCCAAUAAUAACACAAUCAUAUCAAAGAAGCUGAAGAAAUGUAUAAUCUUUGUCUGCAGGUAGUUUUGGAGAAAAAACUAACAGCAGAAAAUGUGGUAAGUAUCAUCAUAGAGUAGAAAUCAACUUUAAAAGUACAUUAUAUAUAAUCUUCACAGCUCCAUCAACUGUCCUACAACAAUAGAAUCAAAACUAAGGGAUGCUCAACCACGUUAAGCCUCGAGGAAUAGUUUAGUCCAACAACACUUGAUGAUUUACCUAAGACAGAGGCUCGUUCAUAGGUCAAAAGAUAGGUUUUGUGCAACAUCACGACCCCUUGGACAACUUUUGUGCAGUCAUGAGACUUUUUGUCAACCAGAUUGCUGUUUCUCUAGACGACAUUCCAUCAUCCCCGAAUGGUUUCAGCACACCAGCAAGCUCAUCGAUUUUCGACAACAUCCCAACAAUAACGACAGACAAGAAAACGUCAUAUAUCAACUUCGAACGAGACAAAACAUCAGGCUGAACUGUUAAACGACAAUCAAGAAAUGAAUUUUGACCAUGAAACCAGAGAUUCAAGACACAAAUAGUGCAUAAGAUGAGGAUCCAUAUCGAAAAUUACUUGAUCAUGUAAUCUUUCCAUAUCGAAAUUUACUUGAUAAUGUCAAGAUUACAUGACAGACUAUAAAAUCGAGACAAGAAUGACAAAAACCACAUAUCAAAAGAUUCAAACAGGAAACAACCUAACGUAACAACGUAACUUAACAUUCUUAUUUACUAAAGAGAAACCUAUGGCCUUUAAGGCUUCUACAGAAAACAACCCAGCAAACAACAUAGUGAUUACAGGUUUACGGAGCAAGUGAUGAAGAAAACGAAACUAAACUACACUUAAAUGACACAAAUAGACUGAAAACAUUCGAACACUACAGCAGCUAGUCAAAUCGUAAUACUCCAAAAUAUGAAGAUAACAUGCUCGGGAUGAAUGAACUCUAAUGUUACAACAGUUUCGAGAGCAAGCCCAACAAAAGAAAACAUGAAAUUAAAGCCAAAUCGACCCAAAGUUCUGACCAGAUUUAAAGAAAAACUACACAUUUUAACAUCUUACAACAGGGGUCUUUAACUCAGGAUAAUGCAAUGAACAUAUCACCGCGGAAUAUAUGCUCAAAGAAAUCACAACGUGGGAUAACCAAUGGUUCAGCAAACAUCAUAACGAUCAAUCAAAUCCUACGAUCGACAAGGCCUCUACAGCUACUCCAGCAUACAAGAUUAUCGCGAACAACACUAUUGUCUACAGAAUGACGAGAUGAAGUAGAAAUAACUGAAAACUAAAGGGGACUGAGCAUUACCUAUUUCGGAGCAACAAAACGGGACUCGAUGUUUCGAUGGAAUUUCAACUACCACCGGAAAGUCGAUGUCUUUUAUUAAAAUCUCGAUUGGCACACCGCUUUCUCUAGAGUUUUUUGCUAAGGAACAGUUCCCUCUUCUCUCAACCCCUCUUUUCUCUGCUUUUCCUUUGCUUUCACAAAAAGAAAAUUUUCCCACUCUCUCUUCUCUGACCUAGCUAGCUCUCAAAAAAUCUUUUUGCACUGAAAUUCCUAACCCUAGAAGUUUUUUAAAGAAUUUCCAACUCUAGAAUCUCCCCCCUAUAUUUUUCUCUCCCCAAAACAGUGAAGAAAUGGGUCCUUAUAUAGAAGACCAAAUGAGGGAUUUUUAGGGAUUCCAAAAAUAGGAUUUUAUGAAUUUGAAAUUCAAAAAAAAUUCCCUCUACAACUUCCGUAUUCGUCCUCAAAUCCCCCAAUUUUGGAUUUUCCUCCGACGGAUUUUGAAAGAGGGCCAAUAGAAAAUAGGGAAAUGGAAUAAUCUCCCUCAGGCCAAUCAAAAUUAUCCAAAUAUGUACCUUCAUCCCAAAAUUUGCGGAAUAUGGAUGUUGGGAAGGACACCUCAUCGAUCUUCUAGAAGAUUUUCGAAUCCUUUUCUCGUCCUACGGAUGCGUCAGACGCGGUUGAAGAAAAACAGAUAGGUUGGGGCUGAUGGAAUCGGGUUUUUGCUGGUGUCGUUGGAGCCGAUGGGAUCGGGUAUUUGGAGUUGGUCGUGUUGCUAUGUUGAGCGAUUUGGGGAUCUGUUCUUGCUCUUGUUGAGGGUUGUUAUUUGAGGGAGAUUAAGAAGUAGUAUUGGGUCG